rnacentral:rRNA from 1 species
CAAGUCGAGCGAGAGGGGGUAGCAAUACCCUAGUAAAGCGGCGCACGGGUGAGUAACACGUGGAUAACCUGCCUCGAAGUGGGGAAUAACACCGGGAAACCGGUGCUAAUACCGCAUAUUCUGACGAGAUCUGCGGAUUUUGUCAGGAAAGGAGCAAUUCGCUUUGAGAGGGGUCCGCGGCUGAUUAGCUAGUUGGUGAGGUAAUGGCUCACCAAGGCCACGAUCAGUAGCCGGUCUGAGAGGACGGUCGGCCACACUGGAACUGAGACACGGUCCAGACUCCUACGGGAGGCAGCAGUGGGGAAUUUUUCGCAAUGGGGGCAACCCUGACGAAGCAACGCCGCGUGGGUGAUGAAGUAUUUCGGUACGUAAAACCCUUUCGACGGAGACGAAACCGCAAGGUUGACGGUAUCCGUAGAAGAAGCCCCGGCUAAUUCCGUGCCAGCAGCCGCGGUAAUACGGGGGGGGCAAGCGUUGUUCGGAAUUACUGGGCGUAAAGGGCGCGUAGGCGGUUCGCUAAGUUGAAUGUGAAAACUCUGGGCUUAACCCAGAGCCUGCAUCCAAAACUGGCGAACUGGAGUACUGGAGGGGAAAGCGGAAUUCCUGGUGUAGCGGUGAAAUGCGUAGAUAUCAGGAGGAACACCGGUGGCGAAGGCGGCUUUCUGGACAGUAACUGACGCUGAGGCGCGAAAGCUAGGGGAGCAAACAGGAUUA